GUCCAACGUGAAAAUUCUCUUCAAACAUUUUCUCUGCAGAACUUGCUCUUCAAUAGUAAAAUCUACUGCCUUUGUUUGGUUACUGAGAAAACACCACACCAGCUUGCUCUUCAAUGGGCUUAAACAAUGGUGGAUGAGAAUAUAAUGGUUAACGGCAUCACAUCGGAGAACGAUGAACAGACUGUAGAGAGCUUCUACGAUGUCGAUGAAUGAGAGAACGAAAUCAAGAUGAAGCAAAAGAUCAAAGCCUUAGAGAAGGAGAAUUCUCUCCAUGGCCAACGAGAACGGAAAGCUCAAAGAUCUGAUUCUGCAACUGACAGCGGAGAUUGAGAUCGGAGGAGUCACAAUUGAAGCCAAGGUUCAGAGUGAUGGAGAGAGAUAGAACAAUCGGAGGAAAGCAAGAGAGCGUUGGAAUCCAUCGCUAACAGAGCUGCAAAGCGAGAGAGAGAGGUCAUGCAGUUUGGGACUAAACAUACAAAAUUUGAAACUAUCAACAAUCGUCUUUGAUUAUUGGGAUGAAGAUGAAUUCGAAGGUCUUCUUGCCAACAGUUGUGGCUCGAAACCCCUAAAGCUAUUACGUCUACCACUCCAAUAGAUAAUCAAAGCACGGAUUUGAAACCAAAACAGGUAUGAAUUAAGAAAAAUCCUAUAUAGUGAUUUCUUUUCUUAUUAUUCUUGGUUUCAUCCUUUACUAGCAGUAUAUUUCCUUGCUUGUUAUUUUUCAUUUCCUCCUUUAUUUACAGUAUAUAUUUGCUUCUUCUUCUUUAUUUUAUUUUUUUAUAGCUUUUUUUUGUUUGUUGAUUUAUCAUUAUAGGGUUUGUCAAUUUGCUUUACUCGUUUGUAAGGGAAAGCUUGCUAAUUGAUAUGGUUGAGUGGUAGAGGUAUUUGGUUAGUGAAUGAGAGUUUUGAGCCUUGGGUUAAUGUUAACCAAGGUUAUGACAUGGGUUUCACAUUUAUAUAAUUUUAUUCAAUUUGAAAA